GCGACUCCUCUGCCGCCGUCACCUAUGCCGCUCGAUUCCGGCGAGUUGACGCGGCUCUCGCCGGUGCGCAGCACACCUCCGGGGUUCCCUCGCGCCACUCUCUCCUCCCCUCCCGUCAGAUCCAUCUCUCGCGCCCGCAACCCUCACCCGUGGUGGACCUCGUUGCCAGAUCGCUGGAUCCGAUGGACGUCAGCUCCAACACGACCACGACC
rnacentral:lncRNA from 1 species